rnacentral:rRNA from 1 species
CACGUAGGGCGCAAGCGUUGUCCGGAAUUAUUGGGCGUAAAGGGCUCGUAGGCGGCCAACUAAGUCAGACGUGAAAUCCCUCGGCUUAACCGGGGAACUGCGUCUGAUACUGGAUGGCUAGAGGUUGGGAGAGGGAUGCGGAAUUCCAGGUGUAGCGGUGAAAUGCGUAGAUAUCUGGAGGAACACCGGUGGCGAAGGCGGUCUGCUGGGCAGUGGCUGACGCUGAGGCGCGACAGCGUGGGGAGCAAACAGG